rnacentral:rRNA from 1 species
UCAAAUGAAUUGACGGGGGCCCGCACAAGCGGUGGAGCAUGUGGUUUAAUUCGAUGCAACGCGAAGAACCUUACCUGGUCUUGACAUCCACAGAACUUUCCAGAGAUGGACUGGUGCCUUCGGGAACUGUGAGACAGGUGCUGCAUGGCUGUCGUCAGCUCGUGUUGUGAAAUGUUGGGUUAAGUCCCGCAACGAGCGCAACCCUUAUCCUUUGUUGCCAGCGGUCCGGCCGGGAACUCAAAGGAGACUGCCAGUGAUAAACUGGAGGAAGGUGGGGAUGACGUCAAGUCAUCAUGGCCCUUACGACCAGGGCUACACACGUGCUACAAUGGCGCAUACAAAGAGAAGCGACCUCGCGAGAGCAAGCGGACCUCAUAAAGUGCGUCGUAGUCCGGAUUGGAGUCUGCAACUCGACUCCAUGAAGUCGGAAUCGCUAGUAAUCGUGGAUCAGAAUGCCACGGUGAAUACGUUCCCGGGCCUUGUACACACCGCCCGUCACACCAUGGGAGUGGGUUGCAAAAGAAGUAGGUAGCUUAACCUUCGGGAGGGCGCUUACCACUUUGUGAUUCAUGACUGGGGUGAAGUCGUAACAAGGUAACCGUAGGGGAACCUGCGGUUGGAUCACCUCCUUA